AGCGAACGCUGGCGGCAGGCUUAACACAUGCAAGUCGAGCGGGCACUUUCGGGUGUCAGCGGCGGACGGGUGAGUAACGCGUGGGAACGUGCCCUCUGGUUCGGAAUAACUCAGGGAAACUUGAGCUAAUACCGGAUACGCCCUUUUGGGGAAAGGCUUGCUGCCGGAGGAUCGGCCCGCGUCUGAUUAGCUAGUUGGUGAGGUAACGGCUCACCAAGGCGACGAUCAGUAGCUGGUCUGAGAGGAUGAUCAGCCACACUGGGACUGAGACAAGGCCCAGAAUCCUGCGGGAGGCAGCAGUGGGGAAUAUUGGAGGAUGGGAGAAAGCAUGAUGUAGUAAUGACGCGUGAGUGAUGAAGGUAUUAGGGUUGUAAAGCUAUUUUAACCGGGAUGAUAAUGACAGUACCGGGAGAAUAAGAUAAGGCUAAAUCCGUG
rnacentral:rRNA from 1 species